rnacentral:rRNA from 1 species
GAUGAACGCUGGCGGCGUGCCUAAUACAUGCAAGUCGAGCGAAUGGAUUAAGAGCUUGCUCUUAUGAAGUUAGCGGCGGACGGGUGAGUAACACGUGGGUAACCUGCCCAUAAGACUGGGAUAACUCCGGGAAACCGGGGCUAAUACCGGAUAACAUUUUGAACCGCAUGGUUCGAAAUUGAAAGGCGGCUUCGGCUGUCACUUAUGGAUGGACCCGCGUCGCAUUAGCUAGUUGGUGAGGUAACGGCUCACCAAGGCAACGAUGCGUAGCCGAGCUGGGAGGGUGAGCGGCCACACUGGGACUGCGACACGGGCCAGACUCCUACGGGAGGCAGCAGUGGGGAAUCUUCCGCAAUGGACGAAAGUCUGACGGGGCAACGCCGCGUGAGUGAUGAAGGCUUGCGGGUCGUAAAACUCUGUUGUUAGGGAAGAACAAGUGCUAGUUGAAUAAGCUGGCACCUUGACGGAACCUAACCAGAAAGCCACGGCUAACUACGUGCCAGCCGCCGCCGUAA